CAUAGACAGUUUCCUAGAAUCAGGCUCCCGUGACUAAAAUACAUAGUUCAUCUCCUAAAGUCUUUAACUUUUAUUUUGAAUAUAGAAACAAAACUCAAAUAUAUUUAAUAAACUGUCUAUUUUUAAGUAUUAACUUACACAUACAGUAAACAAAUUAUUUUAUUUAGAAAUAACUUGUAUGUACUAUGGAUGCAGUAGUUAAUAUUUUAUAAAGUAUAUGAGGUAUGUAUAUUAGAAUAAGAUAACAUGGAAAUAAUUACUCAUUAUUUAGAAAAUGAAACGAUUUAAUAUUUAACCGUAACACCCAAAAUAGAAUAAUAGCUUUCAGAACAAGAAAUCAUUAUCGCGUCUGUAUAAUAGAUUUGUAACCUAAUUUAUUUCAUGAAUCUUUUGGUUAUCAAUAAUCGACGUGAUUGGACACAAUUGAGUUAUAAUUUAUAUAAUUGUGAUUUGUGAAUACGUGGUUAUGAUGAAACGAACAAGUAAAAUAACAGCAAUUUUUCAGAAAAGAUCUAAGAAUACAAAAGACAACGGUAACGAAAAUGAAAACGUACAACCAAAAUCAUCAACAUAAGAAGUAAUAUACAUUACCACCCAUUCAAAUAAAUCACACGAUCGCGUGUCAAUAACAAAUUUAAAUUUGAUUGAACAGUUUAUACCGAUAAAAGAGUUUGUUUUUCCUAAAACAAGUGGAAGAUCUUGUCAAUCAAAAUAUGUCUAAAUUUUGAAAAUGUUAGGGGACUUUGUUUCGAUAUAGCUGCCAAUAUGUCUGAAGUAUGAAUUAGUGGAGUGCAAAAACGAAUUUCUGAAGUUCAACCCAAAUAUAUUUUAUUCAUUGGACUUGGCUUUAUGUGAUACUAUUAAGACUGUAGAUUUAGCCAAUGACACUCUAAAUUUAGUAAGAUUUGUAAGCAUUACCAUACUAGAUUUAGCAAAACGAAAAAAUAAGUUUUCCGAUGUUGUUCUCCCUUCCUCUUCAAAUGAUGAAAAUAUUCAUGAACACCAAAAUAAUGCCAGGAAUUUUUUCGCUUUGUCCAACACUAUGGACAGUUCGAGUAAAAGCGAUUAACAGAUUUAUACAAAACUAUGAAUGAAUUAUUUUAACGGUUGGAGAUAUUUUAAAAGAAUCAAAUUCAAUUGCUUAAGACAGACAUGCAUCUCUACGAGGAUAUGAGAUAAAGCUUUGGAAAUUCGAAACUCUCUUUUCGCUAAACUCUAUAUCAUUAAUUUUUGGUCCAUGUGAACAAUUAGCUACUGCACUACAAUGCCCAUCGUAUGCUGCUAGUGGUGCAAAACAUACAUUUAAUAUAUUAAUUAAAACUCUUGAAACUUUUCACAAUGAUUUGGUUUUUGAUGAUGUUUGGAAUAAAACAAAACAACAAACCGCCGAUCACCUCGAUCUUGAGUUACCCCAACCAUUCAGAACUCGAAAGGUUCUUGCUAGAUUUGAGUAUUCAGUAAUACUUCCAGCUAACAUCGACGGAAAAACAUUUUUAAGAAAAGAAUAAUUUUCUUUAAUUGAUUGUCUACUUCAAGAAUACACAGGAGGUUUACUCAGUCUGGUUUUGAGAAACUAGUA